GGCUUUGUAGGCUCAGUGGUAGAGCACUCGCCCGGCAAGCGAGACGCAUUGGGUUCGAUUCCCAGUCUGGGCCA
rnacentral:tRNA from 1 species